CCCUCCCUCUGCCCCGCAUAGACCCUGCCUCCCUCUGCCCUGCACAGCCCCCUCCCUCCCUCUGCCCUGCACAGCCCCUCCCUCCCUCCACCUCACACAGGCCCCCUCCCUCCCUCUGCCCCACGCAGACCGCCUGCCUCCCUCUGCCCCGCACAGGGAUCCUGCAGGUUCAGGGUGGAGUGGCCUAGCCCAAGCCCUCAGCCUUUCCUUGUGAGUCUGGGUGACUUCUGAAGGGGCUGAGAACCGCUUAGUGGUCUGGACCCUCCCUUGGGGGCUUAUGAGCCAUCACACCUCGGUCCUGCCAUGGAGACCUCCGGCUGACAUCUCCUCAGAGCCUCCCUGGUGUCCAGAGCCCCAGCAGGCAGUGCUAAGCCGGCCACACUGAAGGCCAGGAGGCAGCGCACGGGGACGCUGGAGGAGCACCUGGUCUGGAGAUGCCCAGAGACUUCUGGCAUCCACCAGCAGCGAGGAGCGUCCCUCCCGCAAGGCUUGGCCUUUCCCCUCCAGCUUUGGCACAGGACGCGUUGGUCUGCCGUUUCUUUUGUGCACAACCAUCAGUCAUGAUGUCAGCCCUGAGCUGGGGCCACAGAACCCUGAGCAAAGUGGGACAUAAUGGAAAGCAAACAAAAAAGAAAGAAAAUGAUGGUUUCAAACUAAAAACCUGAGUUCACAUAGCGAUAGAUUUAAAACUAUUUUAGAAAACACUCAUUAUCUCCCUGGCCUAUUUUUUAUUAAAUUGACCAAAUCUGUGGAUACUCAAUUGCUUGUGAUGAC
rnacentral:lncRNA from 1 species